GCUAUCCUACGCUCAGCUGGCUAAAACAUGGUGUUGAUAAUGCCAAGGUUGCAGGUUCAAUCCCAGCUGCAUAUUCCUGCAUAGCA